rnacentral:lncRNA from 1 species
AAAGAACUUUCUCUUACUAUAAUCUGGAUGUCAACUUUAUAUAUACAGGGAGAUCACUUUAUAUAUAGGGAAUUUGGAAGGUCCAUUCGGUUUAGUGUCCGUGCAGUAUUAUUUUGGUUUCAUAUAAGUACUCGGUUCUUUUACUCAGCCGACUGCUGGGGUACAUCUGCUGACUUGGACAACCAACAUGGCGAAUUUGACGGAAAAAUAGACGGGCGAGUGACGGAAAUAAUGAUCAGUGGUGUUUUGAUGGAAUUUCCGACCUAAGGACCUGCUAAAAAUCGGGUUAAACCUUCACGACUAUUUAAGUUAACGACCCGGAUUGGAUCGUCUCCUCUCUUUUCCAAAUCAGUGGCUAUGGAGUUACAUCCUUUUGCAGAGUAGGCCCCACUAUUAAUUAGUCAAACCUUCAUUCAAAUCAUAAUCUUUCUCCUAUUUUCUAAUAUUUUGUAUUUAGUUAUGGUUUUCGGUGUUCGGGUUUGUGUUUUUGGUUUUUGAUUUGACUACGGUUUAAGGUUUAGGGUCUAGAGUAUUAGGUUUUCAAUUUGGAUUUCAAUAAUAAUUUAAACCGUAAACCUUAAACUGUAACCGGACCAAACACUGAAACUCAAAAAUUAAAAUCCAAAUUAAAACCUAAUACUCUAGAAUCUAAAUCUUAAACUGUAAUCGAACCCAACACGGAUAAUCAAAAAUUCAAAUUCAAAUUUAAAACCUUAAACAGUAAUCAAACUCAACACCGAAACGCAAAAAUUAAAAUCCAAAUUAAAACCUAAUACUCUAGAAUCUAAAUCUUAAACUGUAAUCGAACCCAACACGGAUAAUCAAAAAUUCAAAUUC